AUUGAACGCUGGCGGCAGGCCUAACACAUGCAAGUCGAGCGGUAGCACAGAGAGCUUGCUCUCGGGUGACGAGCGGCGGACGGGUGAGUAAUGUCUGGGAAACUGUCUGAUGGAGGGGGAUAACUACUGGAAACGGUAGCUAAUACCGCAUAACGUCGCAAGACCAAAGAGGGGGACCUUCGGGCCUCUUGCCAUCAGAUGUGCCCAGAUGGGAUUAGCUAGUAGGUGGGGUAAUGGCUCACCUAGGCGACGAUCCCUAGCUGGUCUGAGAGGAUGACCAGCCACACUGGAACUGAGACAAGGUCCAGACUCCUACGGGAGGCAGCAGUGGGGAAUAUUGCACAAUGGGCGCAAGCCUGAUGCAGCCAUGCCGCGUGUGUGAAGAAGGCCUUCGGGUUGUAAAGCACUUUCAGCGAGGAGGAAGGCGGUGAGGUUAAUAACCUCAUCGAUUGACGUUACUCGCAGAAGAAGCACCGGCUAACUCCGUGCCAGCAGCCGCCGUAA
rnacentral:rRNA from 1 species